GUCUGUCUGUCUGUCUAUCUAUCUAUCUAUUUAAAGAGAUUUAUCUUAAGUAACUGGUUCAGUCCAAACCUGCAGGGCAAGUCAGCAAGCUGGAGGCCCAGGAGAGCCAAUGUUCCAGUUAGAGUCCUAAGGGCAUUUGCUGGAGAAUGCUCUCUUGUUGGAGAAUUCUCUCUUUUGUUCUGUUCAGACCUUCAACUGAUUGGAUGAGGCCCACCCACACUACAGAGGGCAAUCUGCUUUCCUCCAAAUCGGAUGAGCACA